UACGUAGGGUGCAAGCGUUAAUCGGAAUUACUGGGCGUAAAGCGCACGUAGGCGGAUUGGAAAGUCAGAGGUGAAAUCCCAGGGCUCAACCUUGGAACUGCCUUUGAAACUCCCAGUCUUGAGUUCGAGAGAGGUGAGUGGAAUUCCGAGUGUAGAGGUGAAAUUCGUAGAUAUUCGGAGGAACACCAGGUGGCGAAGGCGGCUCACUGGCUCGAUACUGACGCUGGAGGUGCGAAAGCGUGGGGAGCAAACAGG
rnacentral:rRNA from 1 species